rnacentral:lncRNA from 1 species
GACUGGUUAAAUUUCAUUUAAGAAUUAACCGGUUUUUUGGUUUUGGAUUUGAAUAUGGUUGUGGAUCUCCAUUAUAACCGAUUAUUUUGUGCACCCCUAGAACACAGAACACAAAAGCCCAAUAUUUCCAAAGUCCUACAUGUUUCAACUUUACUUCUACAAAUCUGAAAUUUCUUGUAUGAAACUUGAGAAUACAAAUACAAAUACAUAUACAUUGCAGGUUAACUCAGUAACACAGAAAGUCUUGGAUGCAAAACCACAAUCUAUGACCACAAUUGUGUGUACAAUUUAUUUGGUCAUAAUUAAGAAACCUAUAGUUUUCUUAUAUACUACUGACUAAGACCUUAGGCUUCCAC